ACGGGUGAGUAACGCGUGGGAAUCUACCCAUCCCUACGGAAUAACGCAUGGAAACGUGUGCUUAUACCGUAUACGCCCUACGGGGGAAAGAUUUAUCGGGGAUGGAUGAGCCCGCGUUGGAUUAGCUAGUUGGUGGGGUAAAGGCCUACCAAGGCGACGAUCCAUAGCUGGUCUGAGAGGAUGAUCAGCCACAUUGGGACUGAGACACGGCCCAAACUCCUACGGGAGGCAGCAGUGGGGAAUAUUGGACAAUGGGCGCAAGCCUGAUCCAGCCAUGCCGCGUGAGUGAUGAAGGCCUUAGGGUUGUAAAGCUCUUUCACCGGAGAAGAUAAUGACGGUAUCCGGAGAAGAAGCCCCGGCUAACUUCGUGCCAGCAGCCGCGGUAAUACGAAGGGGGCUAGCGUUGUUCGGAAUUACUGGGCGUAAAGCGCACGUAGGCGGACUUUUAAGUCAGGGGUGAAAUCCCGGGGCUCAACCUCGGAACUGCCUUUGAUACUGGAAGUCUGGAGUAUGGAAGAGGUGAGUGGAAUUCCGAGUGUAGAGGUGAAAUUCGUAGA
rnacentral:rRNA from 1 species